CCUACGGGAGGCAGCAGUAGGGAAUCUUCCACAAUGGGCGAAAGCCUGAUGGAGCAACGCCGCGUGGGUGAAGAAGGUCUUCGGAUCGUAAAACCCUGUUGGUAGAGAAGAAAGUGCGGGAGAGUAACUGUUCACGUGUCGACGGUAUCGAACCAGAAAGCCACGGCUAACUACGUGCCAGCAGCCGCGGUAAUACGUAGGUGGCAAGCGUUAUCCGGAUUUAUUGGGCGAAAAGGGAACGCAGGCGGUCUUUUAAGUCUGAGGUGAAAGCCUUCGGCUUAACCGGAGUAGUGCAUUGGAAACUGUGAGACUUGAGUGCAGAAGCGGAGAGUGGAACUCCCUGUGUAGCGGUGAACUGCGUAGAUAUAUGGAAGCACCCCAGUGGCGAACGCGGCUCUCUGGUCUGUAACUGACGCUGAGGUUCGACAGCGUGGGUAGCAAACAGGAUUAGAUACCCGAGUAGUC
rnacentral:rRNA from 1 species